GGGGCUUCGGCCCUGAGUAGAGUGGCAAACGGGUGAGUAACACGUGGGUGACCUGCCUUCGAGUGGGGGAUAACGUCCCGAAAGGGACGCUAAUACCGCAUGACAUCCUGCUUUUGGAGAAGCGGAAAUCAAAGCUGGGGAUCGCAAGACCUGGCGCUUGAAGAGGGGCCCGCGCCUGAUUAGCUAGUUGGUGGGGUAACGGCUCACCAAGGCAACGAUCAGUAUCCGGCCUGAGAGGGCGGACGGACACACUGGGACUGAGACACGGCCCAGACUCCUACGGGAGGCAGCAGUGGGGAAUUGUUCGCAAUGGGCGCAAGCCUGACGACGCAACGCCGCGUGGAGGAUGAAGAUCUUCGGGUCGUAAACUCCUGUCGUGCGGGACGAAUAGUUCCGGGGUGAACAACCUCGGAGCCUGACGGUACCGCUAAAGGAAGCCCCGGCUAACUCCGUGCCAGCAGCCGCGGUAAUACGGGGGGGGCAAGCGUUGUUCGGAAUUACUGGGCGUAAAGGGCUCGUAGGCGGCCAACUAAGUCGGACGUGAAUCCCCAGGCUCAACCUGGGAACUGCGUCCGAUACUGGAUGGCUUGAAUUCGGGAGAGGGAUGCAGAAUUCCAGGUGUAGCGGUGAAAUGCGUAGAUAUCUGGAGGAAUACCGGUGGCGAAGGCGGCAUCCUGGACCGACAUUGACGCUGAGGAGCGAAAGCCAGGGGAGCAAACGGGAUUAGAUACCCCGGUAGUCCUGGCCCUAAACGAUGAAUGCUUGGUGUGACGGGUAUCGAUCCCUGUCGUGCCG
rnacentral:rRNA from 1 species